rnacentral:rRNA from 1 species
AUUGAACGCUGGCGGCAGGCCUAACACAUGCAAGUCGAGCGGCAGCGGGAAAGUAGCUUGCUACUUUUGCCGGCGAGCGGCGGACGGGUGAGUAAUGCCUGGGAAAUUGCCCAGUCGAGGGGGAUAACAAUUGGAAACGACUGCUAAUACCGCAUACGCCCUACGGGGGAAAGCAGGGGACCUUCGGGCCUUGCGCGAUUGGAUAUGCCCAGGUGGGAUUAGCUAGUUGGUGAGGUAAUGGCUUACCAAGGCGACGAUCCCUAGCUGGUCUGAGAGGAUGAUCAGCCAAACUGGAACUGGGACACGGUCCAGACUCCUACGGGAGGCAGCAGUGGGGAAUAUUGCACAAUGGGGGAAACCCUGAUGCAGCCAUGCCGCGUGUGUGAAGAAGGCCUUCGGGUUGUAAAGCACUUUCAGCGAGGAGGAAAGGUUGAUGCCUAAUACGUAUCAACUGUGACGUUACUCGCAGAAGAAGCACCGGCUAACUCCGUGCCAGCAGCCGCCGUAAGAC